rnacentral:rRNA from 1 species
CAGCCGCCGCGGGAAUACGGAGGGGGCUAGCGUUAUUCGGAAUUACUGGGCGUAAAGCGCACGUAGGCGGAUCAGAAAGUCAGAGGUGAAAUCCCAGGGCUCAAUCUUGGAACUGCCUUUGAAACUCCUGAUCUUGAGGUCGAGAGAGGUGAGUGGAAUUCCGAGUGUAGAGGUGAAAUUCGUAGAUAUUCGGAGGAACACCAGUGGCGAAGGCGGCUCACUGGCUCGAUACUGACGCUGAGGUGCGAAAGCGUGGGGAGCAAACAGGAUUAGAUACCCCAGUAGUCCCUGUCUCUUAUAC